rnacentral:rRNA from 1 species
GACGAACGCUGGCGGCGUGCCUAAUACAUGCAAGUCGAACGCAGUGGGGACGGGUGAGUAACACGUGGGUAACCUCCCAUCAGAGGGGAUAACACUUGGAAACAGGUGCUAAACCGAUAUUGAUGGAUGGACCCGCGGUGCAUUAGCUAGUUGGUGAGGUAACGGCUCACCAAGGCCACGAUGCAUAGCCGACCUGAGGGGGGGGUCGGCCACCCUGGAACUGAGCCACGGCCCAAACUCUUCGGGGGGGCAGCAGUGGGAAAUUUUCGGAAAUGACGAAAGUCUGACCGAGCAACGCCGCGUGAGUGAAGAAGGUUUUCGGAUCGUAAAACUCUGUUGUUAGAGAAGCGGUAUCUAACCAGAAAGCCACGGCUAACUACGUGCCAGCAGCCGCGGUAAUUC